AGGAUCUCUUGGUGGAGAUUCCUUCUCUGUGGAGUUCCUACUGUGAAUCUAGAUACUAGGAGACAGGUCACUCAGACUCAAUUCAAACCACUGGGUACGCAGAAGCAGCUUUGUGUUAAUACUGCCAUGGGAAGAGGGAAGCCAGGACUUACAACUCCAGCGUCUUUGUAUACUUCUGCUUCUUGACAAGCUUGAUCGAUGAUUUGUGCCAAGGGAAGAGAACUUCUCGGUGUCCCUGCAACAACAGUGCCAUUUACGCCAGUGCAAAGGCAAACCAUACAGAUGGUAACGGUUUUCUGGUCAGCCGUGACUGCUCACUCGUGAAGUCAUUCGCAGACUCGAGGGAUACCUAUGCGAU